UACGAGGGGGGCAAGCGUUGUUCGGAAUUAUUGGGCGUAAAGGGCGCGUAGGCGGUGCGGUAAGUCACCUGUGAAAACUCUGGGCUCAACUCAGAGCCUGCAGGCGAAACUGCCGUGCUUGAGUGUGGGAGAGGUGCGUGGAAUUCCCGGUGUAGCGGUGAAAUGCGUAGAUAUCGGAAGGAACACCAGUGGCGAAAGCGGCUUCCUGGUCCAGCACCGACGUUCAGGCACGAAAGCGUGGGGAGCAAACAGG
rnacentral:rRNA from 1 species